UGGGGAAUAUUGGACAAUGGGCGGAAGCCUGAUCCAGCAACGCCGCGUGAGGGAUGACGGCCUUCGGGUUGUAAACCUCUUUCAGCACAGACGAAGUUUUGUCUUUUUGGGCGAAGUGACGGUAUGUGCAGAAGAAGGACCGGCCAACUACGUGCCAGCAGCCGCGGUAAUACGUAGGGUCCGAGCGUUGUCCGGAAUUAUUGGGCGUAAAGGGCUCGUAGGCGGUUUGUUGCGUCGGGAGUGAAAUCCCUGGGCUUAACCCAGGGCCUGCUUUCGAUACGGGCAGACUAGAGGCAUUCAGGGGAGAACGGAAUUCCUGGUGUAGCGGUGAAAUGCGCAGAUAUCAGGAGGAACACCGGUGGCGAAGGCGGUUCUCUGGGAAUGUUCUGACGCUGAGGAGCGAAAGUGUGGGGAGCGAACAGGAUUAGAUACCCCCGUAGUCC
rnacentral:rRNA from 1 species